rnacentral:rRNA from 1 species
AGAGCUCAAAUUUGAAAUCUGGCGGUCGCUUGGCCGUCCGAGUUGUAAUCUAGAGAGGUGUUUUCUGUGCUGGACCGUGUAAAAGUCCCUUGGAACAGGGCGUCAUAGAGGGUGAGAAUCCCGUCCAUGACACGGACUCCCAGUGCUCUGCGAUACACCUUCAAAGAGUCGAGUUGUUUGGGAAUGCAGCUCAAAAUGGGUGGUAAAUUUCAUCUAAAGCUAAAUAUUGGCGAGAGACCGAUAGCGAA